rnacentral:rRNA from 1 species
CCCUUAGAUGUCCUGGGCCGCACGCGCGUUACACUGAUGCAUUCAACGAGCUUAUAACCUUGGCCGAGAGGCCUGGGCAAUCUUGUUAACGUGCAUCGUGAUAGGGAUAGAUUAUUGAAAUUAUUAAUCUUGAACGAGGAAUUCCUAGUAAACGCAGAUCAUCAAUCUGCAUUGAUUACGUCCCUGCCCUUUGUACACACCGCCCGUCGCACCUACCGAUUGGAUGCUCAGGUGAGCCAUUCGGACUUUCAUCAUGCUGGUUUCCAGUUUUGAUGAAGGAAAGUCUUGCGAACCUUAUCAUUUAGAGGAAGGAGAAGUCGUAACA